CAAAGAAUUCAGACUACACUUUCGGGGGCCGAGUUGGGCCCCUCCCAGUAACCUUUGACCCUUUGAACUCACGUCUUCUCCUCUCACCUUAAAGGUGCACAUCGCCACUUUACGCAUCUCUACACCUCCUUGUGGUCACCGCUUCCGCUGAGAGACCAGACAUUGACUGCGACUCCUCGCUUUCGCACCCCUCGCUUGUCCUAAUCUAUGGGACCAUCAGGUGCGGCAUUUGCUACUCACGAUUCACAAUCCCCCAAAGGCGGGGAAUCACGACGUCGAUUGCGUAAUUCGUGAGGCGGACCCCUCAUGCCAGCGUUCUGACUUUGAGUUUCCUUAACUGCCCCCGGGCGUGUUCGCCACCUCGUACACCAAAUUAAGCUUCGUUGCGCUUCUUGGAAUGGUCCAGAACUGUAGGAGACUGUUGGGAUCUCUAUCCCGAAAGGGAAGCCCCUGUCUCACUGUCCACCACGUACCAACAGCAGUCGAGCACAGCACUCUACAACCCAAUUCAGGGCGUUGCUCGCGUUGGGAACUAGAAUCAACGGUCGUAAGUCAACCCGUGAGAUUCCACUGACGGCCACUGUUUGGCCUCCUUCCACCCCUACUGCAGUUUAGUAGUACGGGGAAUACUGGACCCGAUGUGUGCACGAUGUUACCUGUCUUGUUUCCCGACGCUCUGGCGUUCCAAAUCGGUUAGGGUGUUUAGACAAGAGUCAAGCCUAGCGUCAGACGUUGAGCUGACGCACUUCGACCUUAGCGAUCAU
rnacentral:rRNA from 1 species